rnacentral:rRNA from 1 species
AUUGAACGCUGGCGGCAGGCCUAACACAUGCAAGUCGAGCGGAUGAAGGGAGCUUGCUCCUUGAUUCAGCGGCGGACGGGUGAGUAAUGCCUAGGAAUCUGCCUGGUAGUGGGGGAUAACGUCCGGAAACGGGCGCUAAUACCGCAUACGUCCUGAGGGAGAAAGUGGGGGAUCUUCGGACCUCACGCUAUCAGAUGAGCCUAGGUCGGAUUAGCUAGUUGGUGGGGUAAAGGCCUACCAAGGCGACGAUCCGUAACUGGUCUGAGAGGAUGAUCAGUCACACUGGAACUGAGACACGGUCCAGACUCCUACGGGAGGCAGCAGUGGGGAAUAUUGGACAAUGGGCGAAAGCCUGAUCCAGCCAUGCCGCGUGGGUGAAGAAGGUCUUCGGAUUGUAAAGCACUUUAAGUUGGGAGGAAGGGCAGUAAGUUAAUACCUUGCUGUUUUGACGUUACCAACAGAAUAAGCACCGGCUAACUUCGUG